rnacentral:lncRNA from 1 species
GUCAGUGCAUUUGGCAUAAAUAGCAGAUACAUACCUACUGUUAGCGCCAUUUUUGUCUUUGAAUUUGAUGGUAACGUGUUGUUCUUCAUUGGCUAUGACUUCAGCUUGAUCUAGGUGAUUCCAAAAACACCAAAUCUUGCCAUUAGUGUUAUCCAGACAAUAUUGGAAUCCAAGAAAUUUCCUGUAUCCCUCAAUCUUAGUCUUAUUAACC